GACGAACGCUGGCGGCGUGCUUAACACAUGCAAGUCGAACGGAAAGGCCCAGCUUGCUGGGUACUCGAGUGGCGAACGGGUGAGUAACACGUGGGUGCUCUGCCCUGGACUCUGGGAUAAGCCUGGGAGACUGGGUCUAAUACCGGAUAUGACCUUACAUCGCAUGGUGUUUGGUGGAAAGCUUUUGCGGUUCGGGAUGGGCACGCGGCCUAUCAGCUUGUUGGUGGUGUAGUGGCCUACCAAGGCGACGACGGGUAGCCGACCUGAGAGGGUGAUCGGCCACACUGGGACUGAGAGACGGCCCAGACUCCUACGGGAGGCAGCAGUGGGGAAUAUUGCACAAUGGGCGCAAGCCUGAGGCAGCGACGCCGCGUGAGGGAUGACGGCCUUCGGGUUGUAAACCUCUUUCGCCAGGGACGAAGCGUGAGUGACGGUACCUGGAGAAGAAGCACCGGCCAACUACGUG
rnacentral:rRNA from 1 species